UCAACUCUCUCUCACUCUCACCCAUUAAUUUCGCCUUUUUCAAUUAUUAUAUUAUAUUAUAUUAUAUUAUAUUUGUUUCUUAAUGUAAUGUCUGACCAGUUCUAGCUUUUGUAAUUUAUCAUUUUUAAAGCUUGACAAAGCCUUGCAGAAAUUCAAAAGGAUCGGAGUUGCUGCCAUUUUGGAACAUCUUGCCCAGUUUUAUGAAAUUGUAGCGUAUUCAGACCAGGUCAAAAGGUUAAAACAGGCUAAAAAGAGCCUUUUAACUUACUUUUGGAGCUAAGGAAAAAAUCCAGAAAAAGUCAGAAAAUCUGCACUGAUCAAGCUUUGAUCGAUUGAAGGAAAUCUUAAUCGAUCGAAAAAGGCUACAAUUGAUUGAGAUCAAGGCGGUGCCAGCUCAGCAAUCUGGAUAAGUCCAAGAAGAUAUUUUCAUGCCACGUCAGCUUUGAUUGAUCGAAGUAAGUUUUCGAUAGAUGCAGAGAGCUGUUUUAUUCCUGCGUUGGCGCGAACUUCACCUACCACAUGGGAUGCGAGAUUGAACCAAUUAGAAGCCAAAAUUCUAACUUGUUGCCUACUCCAAGGACUUUGUAUUUAAAGGGAAUUGGACCAUUUUGUAAUAUAUCUUUUUUCUUUAAUUUUAUUUUAAUUUUAGAUUGUAAUAGCUAUUUUCUCUCUCUAGAAAAGUUAGGAUUAGGGUCAGAAGAAAAUAGAAGAGUGGAGGUUCCAAGAACACAUCUCAAGAUCUACACGCACACACACACUCUCUCUAAUUAACAAAGAAAAAGAGGAAGAAGAUGGAACCAUGUUUGGGGAUUACCUUUGCGGGUUCCAAUAUCAUAUCCACCUCCUCCAUGAUUGGCUAGACUUCUCCUUGGGGCUUAGAUGAGCCCUAAGUUUGUAAUCUAAACCUCUAUAUCUUUUUUACUUUUUGGGUAAUGUUAUCUGGUGAUUAGUGUUUUUA